AGAGUUUGAUCCUGGCUCAGGAUGAACGCUAGCGGGAGGCUUAAUACAUGCAAGUCGAGCGCCCCGCAAGGGGAGCGGCGCACGGGUGAGUAACACGUACGCAAUCUACCUUAUGCUGGGGGAUAGCCUUGGGAAACUGGGAGUAAUCCGCCAUAGUAUUUAUGAAUGGCAUCAUUUAUAAAUUAAAGUGAUAGCGGCAUAAGAUGAGCUCGCGUCUGAUUAGCUAGUUGGAGGGGUAACGGCCCACCAAGGCGACGAUCAGUAGCUGGUCUGAGAGGAUGAUCAGCCACACUGGGACUGAGACACGGCCCAGACUCCUACGGGAGGCAGCAGUGGGGAAUUUUCCGCAAUGGGCGCAAGCCUGACGGAGCAAGACCGCGUGCGGGAUGAAGGUCUAUUGAUUGUAAACCGCUUUUGUGGGGGACGAAACUGACGGUACCCCGCGAAGAAGCCUCGGCUAACUCCGUGCCAGCAGCCGCGGUAAUAC
rnacentral:rRNA from 1 species